AACGAACGCUGGCGGCAGGCCUAACACAUGCAAGUCGAGCGCCCAGCAAUGGGAGCGGCAGACGGGUGAGUAACACGUGGGAACCUUCCCUAUAGUACGGAAUAGCCCAGGGAAACUUGGAGUAAUACCGCAUACGCCCGAGAGGGGAAAGAUUUAUCGCUAUAGGAUGGGCCCGCGUAGGAUUAGCUAGUUGGUGAGGUAAUGGCUCACCAAGGCGACGAUCCUUAGCUGGUCUGAGAGGACGACCAGCCACACUGGGACUGAGACACGGCCCAGACUCCUACGGGAGGCAGCAGUGGGGAAUAUUGGACAAUGGGGCGCAAGCCUGAUCCAGCCAUGCCGCGUGAGUGAUGAAGGCCUUAGGGUUGUAAAGCUCUUUUGCCGGGGACGAUAAUGACGGUACCCGGAGAAUAAGUCCCGGCUAACUUCGUGCCAGCAGCCGCGGUAAU
rnacentral:rRNA from 1 species